rnacentral:rRNA from 1 species
GAUGAACGCUGGCGGCGUGCUUAACACAUGCAAGUCGAGCGAGAAGUUUUGAAGAGAUUCUUCGGAUGAAAUUUAAAAUGGAAAGCGGCGGACGGGUGAGUAACGCGUAGGCAACCUGCCCCAUACAAAGGGAUAGCAUUUGGAAACGAAUAUUAAUACCUUAUGAAACUUAACUAGUGCAUGCUAGGUAGGUCAAAGAUUUAUCGGUAUGGGAUGGGCCUGCGUCUGAUUAGCUAGUUGGUGAGGUAACGGCUCACCAAGGCGACGAUCAGUAGCCGACCUGAGAGGGUGAACGGCCACAUUGGAACUGAGACACGGUCCAAACUCCUACGGGAGGCAGCAGUGGGGAAUAUUGCACAAUGGGGGAAACCCUGAUGCAGCAACGCCGCGUGAACGAUGAAGGCCUUUGGGUCGUAAAGUUCUGUUCUAGGUGAUGAAAACUGACAGUAACCUAGGAGAAAGCCCCGGCUAACUCCGUG